AUUGAACGCUGGCGGCAGGCAUAACACAUGCAAGUCGAACGAGUGGCGGACGGGUGAGUAAUGUUUGGGAAACUGGCUUAUGGAGGGGGAUAACUACUGGAAACUGUAGCUAAUACCGCAUACCAUCGGAUGAGCCCAAGUGGGAUUAGCUAGUAGGUGGGGUAACGGCUCACCAAGGCGACGAUCUCUAGCUGGUCUGAGAGGAUGACCAGCCACACGGGAACUGAGACACGGUCCAGACUCCGACGGGAGGCAGCAGUGGGGAAUAUUGCGCAAUGGGGGCAAGCAUGACGCAGCCAUGCCGCGUGAAUGAAGAAGGCCUUCGGGUUGUAAAGUACUUUCAGCGGGGAGGCGUUACCCGCAGAAGAAGCACCGGCUAACUCCGUGCCAGCAGCCGCGGUAAUUC
rnacentral:rRNA from 1 species